rnacentral:rRNA from 1 species
GACGAACGCUGGCGGCGUGCCUAAUACAUGCAAGUCGAACGCAGUGGGGACGGGUGAGUAACACGUGGGUAACCUCCCAUCAGAGGGGAUAACACUUGCAAACAAGUGCUAAACCGAUACUGCUUGAUGGAGCCGCUGUGCAUUAUCUAGGUGGGGAGGUAACGGCUCACCAAGGCCACGAUGAAUAGCCGACUUGAGAGUGUGAUCUGCCACACUGGGACUGAGACACGGCCCAGACUCCUACGGGAGGUAGCAGUAGGGAAUCUUCGGCAAUGGGCGAAAGUCUGACGGAGCAACGCCGCGUGAGUGAAGAAGGUUUUCGGAUCGUAAACCUCUGUUGUUAGAGAAGCGUUAUCUACCCAGAAAGCCACGGCUAACUACGUGCCAGCAGCCGCGGUAAUUC